AAGAACCUCAACAAGCAUCAAGCUAGCCAGCGAGAAUGACCUAUAAAUCAGCGGCCCUGUGGACUUGACACACACCUCGAGGGCAAGAGACCAGUUCCAGUGAGUGAUCCAGAAAACAUAAUGUUCUCUCUUCAAAAUGAAAACCUGAUCCUAAAAUGUAGUGAUUAAGACCAUUCCUGGAAGCUAGAGAUAGGGGGGGUUCAACUACCUCUGGAGAAAAGGGACUAGAACUCCGCUUUCCUACAGCCUGGGCUACAAUCUAAAAUACAUUCUUCAUAUGAACCAGGCAACAGCAUAACUCCUCUUUCAGGUGAGCAUCAAUCCAUUGCUGUGUCUACUUCACCCUACACAGGCAAUCUUUACAGAGUUCAGAAGAAGCAACUUCAGUUCACAGCACAGAUCCAACUUUUGCAAGUAUUCUUCCACCUUCGAAAAGAUAUCACACCCCCUGAGCUCCCUUCCAUACUUUCCAGCUCUCUGGAAGCACCUGGGUGAGGAAUACCCAUGAGGUGCCAGGUGGAUGCAGCUGGAGCACUAGGGAACC